rnacentral:rRNA from 1 species
UCCGGAGGGUGCAAGCGUUAUCCGGAUUCACUGGGUUUAAAGGGUGCGUAGGUGGGGAGGUAAGUCAGCGGUGAAAUCCCCGAGCUUAACUUGGGAACUGCCAUUGAUACUAUCUCUCUUGAAUAUCUUGGAGGUGAGCGGAAUAUGUCAUGUAGCGGUGAAAUGCUUAGAUAUGACAUAGAACACCAAUUGCGAAGGCAGCUCACUACACGGUAAUUGACACUGAGGCACGAAAGCGUGGGGAUCAAACAGG